ensembl:lncRNA
CUGGUUUUGGGCGUCGUGAGGGAGGAAGCGGGCAGUGCGUUGCUUCGUGCGUGGCUCAGUGCCUUUCUUUCUUCUGGUGUGCCUCCCGCCCGAGCUUUAGCCAGUGGAGAUGGCAGGGACCUCGGACCAAGUUGGAUGUGGCAGCCAAGCUGUGAGGACACAGGCAGGGUUUGUCUGGAGCUGCAUCUCAGUAAUGAGCCUGCUGGCAAUCCACUGCUUUUGAGCAGUGACAGCCUGGUGUCACCCUCCCUGUCAAGGUGAAGAGUUCCUGCUGUAUUUGGGAUCCUGCAGUGAAGAAAAACCCCUGCUCAACGCUCUCCUCCACGUUUCUUAUUUCACCAAGCCAGUGCACCGUGUUGGUGAUGGCUGUUUGAGUCUGCUUCAAGUGUUGCCAUUAGGUGAUGGCUGCAGAUUGGGGUUCUUGCACAGAAUUGCCUGUGAGGAGGUGUUCUCCUGCCCCAUGACCACCCUGUGGUUGAGAGGUGACGGAAGGACCACACCAUCCCAGGGAUGCUCUGGUACUGGAAGUGGCUUUUAUUUAGGAGUUGUGUUGGCUUCUCACAAUUUUCUCCUAGGCAAAAGGAUCGUUUUCAGCUUUCAGAGAACUGUAACCAAAGAACAUUUGGGGUUUUCUGGUUCCCCAGAAUAAAACAAUUCCUACCCCUGUAAAAGGCUCAGCCUUUUCAGUCCUCUCCCACCUCUAGCCCUCCAUGGAAAGGCUGUGAAGCCAGCCUUCCCACAGGAGGUAUCCCGUAGCCCACAGGGCUGCAAAUGUGACAUGAGUUGCUCUUGUGUCACCCCACAGCCCUCCUCUGUCCUGGAACCCCUCCCUGCCAGCCCUCCUGCGGGCAGGAAAUCACACCCAGAGAUCUGCAUUUCUCAGGAAAGAGCGAAAAUGCCACAAAGGUGAGAAUGUGGCCAAAUUAUUGCUGGUGGGAACAGAAACGGACAAGUUAACAUGCAGGAGUGGAAAUUACUCAUUUCAAGAAUGGGGGGGGAAGGGAGGAAGGGGAGUUUAAAAUGCAGAGAAGAGAAGGAUGCCAGCCCAUUUCUGACAACCAUAUAAUGCAGUCAGAAAUCUGCACUUCACACUUCGUCUUUGAUGUUGGGACAGAAGGUGCCUGUGUGUGCUUCAGUGUGGUAGGAGCUGUGUCGUGGGGGAUGGCUGCCCACGGGGACCACCCCAACAGCCCAUUGACACCAUCACCAGCCCUGGUCCUGCGUCGCUCCAGUUGAGCCCCCGCUGAGAUGCAGAGGUAGAAAGAUUUUGGGAAGGUGAUGGCUGAGAAGGAAGAAUGGAUAACGGGGCAGCAGUGAUGGGUGUCACAGCCAAGGCUGCAGCACCCACCCUGCACCCAAGCAGGACAUGGCAUUGCCCCAUGUCCCAGGACACAGGGUGCCAGCCAAGGUGACAGUGGGCUGGAGAUGUCCCCAGGGACAUUCUUGAGGUCUCACUGUUGGGCUGUUCACAGAGCUGUGGGGUUGACAGCCCCAGUGGUUCAAGCCCACAUGGAUCCUGGCAUGAGUAAACAAUGCGGGAAUGGGGAACAGGUGCUUGCAUGGCGACCUGAGCCCUGUUUUUAAUUCUUGCUUUGAAGCAGGGAUUUGUGAGAGGUACAGGAGGGAGCUUUUGGCAUCCCAGGGCUCGGUGGACACGGCACCGGGCUGCCCAUGUGCUGUCACCAUCCCUCCACAACCAUCUCGCUGGCCACAAACCUCUCCAUCAUACGCAUCCUCCCCAGCUUCAGGGCUCGGGAGUGGCGGUUGGGAGCCGCGAAGAAAGCCAAGGUGAUCUCAUCCCACGGGUAUUUUCUUGGCUCAUUCAGCUCGCUCCAACGCCUCACCGAUAACGUUGGACGAUGAGGUCAGCAGCAGGGUUUGGCAUCGCCGAGCUGUGUGUCACCGAGGAGCCCGGAGCUCCAACACCUGCACUUACCCCCGUGUUUUGGGAUUGGGGUUGCAGGGAGCUGCUUCACCCCAUGGUGAAACCACUUCCGUAUCUUCUGGUCCAUAAGCCUGUUUGUGUAUCCUUCCACUAAAAAUACCACCGGUUCUGCUGGUCCGUUCCUAAAAGUGGAGAUACUAACACAUCUGAUAGCUAAUACCACAGCUAAGAGGAUCUGAAGCUCUGGGAUGGCAAUUGGCAAUUACAAGCAUCCCAAGCAUCUUGCCUUCAAGCAAGGACAUGGCACACCACCGUGCAUCUCCAUCUCCAGCAUCAGCCCUGCAUUCCUUCCUUGCAGAACUGCCAAGUCUGGGCUUUGGGGGCUGCUCUGACCUUUCCACGUGCUUCAUCUUCUGAUGGGAGGCAGAGGCUCUGUGUAGGUGUGUGCAUGGGGAAGGUCUGUGUGAAGUAGCCAGCAGCUGGUUAGGCUCCUCCAGGGGAGCGUGGAAAGGUGGAAGCUUCCCAUAUCUGCCGUGUUAGAAAGAGGAGCAGAGGGCUUUUCCUCUUCAGAUCACUUUCCAAAGUGCUGUUAUCAGCCCAGGAGGGGUUUCCUGCUGCCAAAAAUAGAGCAGCGUUGAGAUAGGAAGGGAGGCAGGAUGACGCAGGCACAGAUAAGGCUGCUGGAUGAGCUGGGGGGGGGGUGGGGGUGGGGGGCAGCUUGGACCUCCGGCAUGCUGGGUGCCCCCAUCCCACUGAAAGACCGGCAGUGGGGUUUGGGAUCUCACCCACACCUGCACUGUUGCUUUCUCAGCCCAGUUAUGUCAAUGAGCGGCUGGGUGCUGAACGUAAGCCCAAUGCGUCCAUCGCUGGGGGCCAGCAGGGGAAGCUGGCCGGUUUUCAGGUUCUGCAGAGUGCAUCUGUGCCUCUCUGAAGGAUGCUGCAGGCCCGCGGCGGGGUUUGGCCGAGCAGAGCAUUGCCUGUCCCCUUCCUUCCCCCAGACAAAGCCCCCCCAAGGAUGGCAAAAGGAAGAGCCCGACGGCCCGCUCCGGGCUUUGUUCGGCCUUUGGAAGGUGCCAAAUUCCCUCUCUCAAGAAUGAGAGCUUAAUGUCCCGUAUCUAAUUAGCGAUUUUCCCCGCACCUGCCCCUCCGCCGCCCCUCGGGCCAUCUGCCGUCUCGGGGC